rnacentral:lncRNA from 1 species
UGUAGUCUUCUACCAAGACCCAAAUGUUUUGUAAGUAAAAUGAUAGUUUUUCCUUUCCAUUGACUAGUACCAAGAGUACUUAGUCUAACUCUUCGUUUAUGUGAAUAUAUCACAAAAUAAAGUAAAUAGGAAAAAGUACUAAUGUAAGUGUUAUCCCAAGGUACUAGGGCUAACACGCCAUCGCGUAAAGCGAAAUGUAUAACUUAUCACAAAAUAAAGUAAAUAGGAAAAUAUACUAAAGUAAGUGUUAUCCCGAGGUACUAGGGCUAACACGACAUAUGUAAAUGUUAUCCCGAGGUACUAGGGCUAACACGACAUAUAUAACCUAAUGAACAUCCGAAGAUUGUCCAAUUGUCCUCUGUAGCAGC